rnacentral:rRNA from 1 species
CUACGGGAGGCACCAGUGGGGAAUAUUGCACAAUGGAGGAAACUCUGAUGCAGCAACGCCGCGCGGAGGAUGACACUUUUCGGAGCGUAAACUCCUUUUAUAUAGGAAGAAGAUGACGGUACUAUAUGAAUAAGCGCCGGCUAACUCCGUGCCAGCAGCCGCGGUAAUACGGAGGGCGCAAGCGUUACUCGGAAUCACUGGGCGUAAGGAGCGUGUAGGCGGAUUAAAAAGUCAGAAGUGAAAUCCUAUAGCUUAACUAUAGAACUGCUUCUGAAACUCUUAAUCUAGAAUAUGGGAGAGGUAGAUGGAAUUUCUGGUGUAGGGGUAAAAUCCGUAGAGAUCAGAAGGAAUACCGAUUGCGAAGGCGAUCUACUAGAACAUUAUUGACGCUGAGACGCGAAAGCGUGGGGAGCAAACAGGAUUAGAUACCCUGGUAGUC